UACAGAGGUCUCAAGCGUUGUUCGGAUUCAUUGGGCGUAAAGGGUGCGUAGGCGGCGCGGUAAGUCGGGUGUGAAAUCUCGGAGCUUAACUCCGAAACUGCAUUCGAUACUGCCGUGCUUGAGGACUGGAGAGGAGACUGGAAUUUACGGUGUAGCGGUGAAAUGCGUAGAGAUCAUGAGGAAGACCAGUGGCGAAGGCGGGUCUCUGGACAGUUCCUGACGCUGAGGCACGAAGGUCAGGGGAGCAAACGGG
rnacentral:rRNA from 1 species